GCCUACAAUCAGUUGGAGGGCCCUUGCGGCCUGACAGCGUACCUUUUGUAUAAUGGGUCAUCGACUUGGUCUAUCUAGCAAGCUUAAGCCGUUAGGUGUAGGCGCAGCGAAAGCGAGUCUGAAUAGGGCGCAUGAGUUAGAUGGAUCAGACCCGAAACCGAGUGAUCUAGGCAUGGCCAGGUUGAAGGUUGGGUAACACCAACUGGAGGACCGAACCCACAUCCGUUGAAAAGGAUCGGGAUGAGCUGUGCCUAGGGGUGAAAGGCCAAU
rnacentral:rRNA from 14 species